ACAUACAUAUAUAUAUACACACACAUACGUGUACACAUCUAUACAUGCAUAUGCGUCUAUGAUCGUUGGACUUCUACACGAUUCCUGAUAUUCAGUGCUCGUGGACGAGAACAAGGAGCUUCGAGUUCAUAGCGAGCGUCGGGCAUUUCCGAUUGGUUUCACAUCUCCGACGACAAGACCAAGCACAAGCACCAUGGGGAAGUUCUCAGCUCUAACCUACGCGCUUCUGACGCUAGCGACCUGCGUGCCGCUGUCGCGCGCAGCAGCAGACGAGCGCGGUGCGG